rnacentral:ncRNA from 1 species
ACCAUAGUGUUGAAAGGGAUUAGUAAAUGAUGUAUAAGUCUUUAGAGAGAGGAUUCAUCGGCUGAAAGAUCCUUGACCUCUGUACAAGUUGAACCUGCCCUCGAGCUUAUUAGUUACUGUAAACUAAUCGUUACCCUCGUUACGGGUUUGAGUGGACAUGAUGAUACAUGUCAAACAAGGUGGUACCGCGGAAAGUAUGCUCUUCCGUCCUUUUA